rfam:Cavia porcellus supercont2_12 genomic scaffold, whole genome shotgun sequence.
GGGGAUUUAGCUCAGCGGCAUAAGUGUCUGCCUUGCAAGCAGGCAGUCAUGAGUUCGACCCCUGGUACCCA